rnacentral:rRNA from 11 species
AUGUACCAGGCCUAACUAUUCUGAAGGCACCAGAUCCCAUCUAACCUUGGGAGUUAAGGAAGGUCAGUUCUAGAUAGCACUUGGAUGGGAGAACAUCAAGGUGUUGUAGACUGUAUGUC